AUGACAGUUGAGCGUCUGAGCUGUAUCAAUGGUAUCCUUCCUGAAGGUCAUCAAUUUAAUGCUGAGGAAGCUGUUGACUACAUUGAGAUGGAGAGAAUUUUAAUCGGUGAUAUGCGUGACGGUGCUGCUAAUCUAGUUCAGAGCUCGGUUCGGCUGUUGAACAACAUGAAGCGUUUCAGAACUACGCAAAACUCUCGCUGCAAGCCAUAUGAAGAAAGUGCAAAUGUUGUUAUCAAGCAGUUUGAGCAGGAUGAGGCUGCUGCCACCGACAGCAGGGCUGGUGAUGGUACUGAGGCUAAUGUUUUUGAUCACGAAACGAAUGAUGUUGGCUUUGAGCGUCCUGAUGUUGAUAUUGAUAGGAUGAGGCUGCUGGCACCGACAGCAGGGCUGAUGAUGGUACUGAGGCUAAUGUUUCUGAUCAGCAUACGAACGAUGUUGGCUUGCAGCACCCUGUUGUUGAUGAGCCCAGUCAUAAUGUUGCGGCUGCUGUUGACCGUGGAGUUAAUGAUCCAUCCACUGAUAAGUGCAAGGGUCCUAUUGUUGGCGAUGAGCCUUGUUUGCCCAUUGGUGAUGUUGCUUUGA
rnacentral:rRNA from 1 species